CGGAAGUAGCUCAGUGGUAGAGCACCACCUUGCCAAGGUGGGGGUCGCGGGUUCGAGCCCCGUUUUCCG
rnacentral:tRNA from 1 species